GGGUUGUGAGGUUAAGCGACUAAGCGUACACGGUGGAUGCCUUGGCAGUCAGAGGCGAUGAAGGACGUGCUAAUCUGCGAUAAGCGUCGGUAAGGUGAUAUGAACCGUUGUAACCGG
rnacentral:rRNA from 1 species